UACGUAGGGUGCAAGCGUUGUCCGGAAUUAUUGGGCGUAAAGAGCGUGUAGGCGGCUCGAUAAGUCCGCUGUGAAAGUCCAGGGCUCAACCCUGGAAUGCCGGUGGAUACUGUCGAGCUAGAGUCCGGAAGGGGCGAGUGGAAUUCCUGGUGUAGCGGUGAAAUGCGCAGAUAUCAGGAGGAACACCAAUGGCGAAGGCAGCUCGCUGGGACGUGACUGACGCUGAGACGCGAAAGCGUGGGGAGCAAACAGG
rnacentral:rRNA from 1 species